AGUUUGAUCCUGGCUCAGAACGAACGCUGGCGGCAUGCCUAACACAUGCAAGUCGAACGAAGGCUUCGGCCUUAGUGGCGCACGGGUGCGUAACGCGUGGGAAUCUGCCCUUGGGUUCGGAAUAACAGCGGGAAACUGCUGCUAAUACCGGAUGAUGUCGAUAAGACCAAAGAUUUAUCGCCUGAGGAUGAGCCCGCGUUGGAUUAGGUAGUUGGUGGGGUAAAGGCCUACCAAGCCGACGAUCCAUAGCUGGUCUGAGAGGAUGAUCAGCCACACUGGGACUGAGACACGGUCCAGACUCCUACGGGAGGCAGCAGUGGGGAAUAUUGGACAAUGGGCGCAAGCCUGAUCCAGCCAUGCCGCGUGAGUGAUGAAGGCCUUAGGGUUGUAAAGCUCUUUCACCGGUGAAGAUAAUGACGGUAACCGGAGAAGAAGCCCCGGCUAACUUCGUGCCAGCAGCCGCGGUAA
rnacentral:rRNA from 1 species